AGUGAACGCUGGCGGCAGGCCUAACACAUGCAAGUCGAACGGCAGCACAGGAGAGCUUGCUCUCUGGGUGGCGAGUGGCGGACGGGUGAGGAAUGCGUCGGAAUCUGCCUAUUUGUGGGGGAUAACGUAGGGAAACUUACGCUAAUACCGCAUACGACCUACGGGUGAAAGUGGGGGACCGCAAGGCCUCACACAGAGAGAUGAGCCGACGCCGGAUUAGCUCGUUGGCGGGGUAAAGGCCCACCAAGGCGACGAUCCGUAGCUGGUCUGAGAGGAUGAUCAGCCACACUGGAACUGAGACACGGUCCAGACUCCUACGGGAGGCAGCAGUGGGGAAUAUUGGACAAUGGGCGCAAGCCUGAUCCAGCCAUGCCGCGUGUGUGAAGAAGGCCUUCGGGUUGUAAAGCACUUUUGUCCGGAAAGAAAAGCAUCCGGUUAAUAACCGGGUGUCAUGACGGUACCGGAAGAAUAAGCACCGGCUAACUUCGUGCCAGCAGCCGCAGUAAAAC
rnacentral:rRNA from 1 species